AGGACGAACGCUGGCGGCGUGCUUAACACAUGCAAGUCGAGCGGAAAGGCCCUUCGGGGUACUCGAGCGGCGAACGGGUGAGUAACACGUGAGCAAUCUGCCCUUAGCUUCGGGAUAGCCCCGGGAAACCGGGAUUAAUACCGAAUAUGACCUUGGCCGACAUCGGCCUUGGUGGAAAGUUUUUCGGCUAGGGAUGAACUCGCGGCCUAUCAGCUUGUUGGUGGGGUAAUGGCCUACCAAGGCGACGACGGGUAGCCGGCCUGAGAGGGCGACCGGCCACACUGGGACUGAGACACGGCCCAGACUCCUACGGGAGGCAGCAGUGGGGAUAUUGCGCAAUGGGCGAAAGCCUGACGCAGCGACGCCGCGUGGGGGAUGAAGGCCUUCGGGUUGUAACCCUUUCAGCAGGGACGAAGCGAGAGUGACGGUACCUGCAGAAGAAGCGCCGGCUAACUACGUGUCAGCAGCCGC
rnacentral:rRNA from 1 species